rnacentral:tRNA from 1 species
UCCCUGGUAGCUCAGCUGGUGAAGCAUUUGCCUGCAAUGCAGGAGACCCUGGUUUGAUUCCUGGGGGAA